UACGGGGGGGGCAAGCGUUGUUCGGAAUUACUGGGCGUAAAGGGCUCGUAGGCGGCCAACUAAGUCAGACGUGAAAUCCCUCGGCUUAACCGGGGAACGGCGUCUGAUACUGGAUGGCUUGAAUCCGGGAGAGGGAUGCGGAAUUCCAGGUGUAGCGGUGAAAUGCGUAGAUAUCUGGAGGAACACCGGUGGCGAAGGCGGCCUUCUGGGCCUUUCCUGACGCUGAGGCGCGAAAGCGUGGGGAGCGAACCGG
rnacentral:rRNA from 1 species